CGGACAUCUUCACGCACGGGGUUUGGUUUGUUUAAACAGCCUGCGUUGAUUCCCGGCCAAACGUAAGCGGUUGGUUAUGUCAGAUCCAGAGUGGCACUGGGCAGAUCCAAUAGUUUUAAACUUCAACAGACACCCGCCUUCAAGAUGCCGAUUGGCUGUUGGAUGCUGGAGCCCGAUAGUGAUUCUGCUCGAACAAAUCUGCUGCAGCAGCACUGACCACUCGGCUGGCUGCGUGGUUCUUCCCUCUUGCACCAUCCAAUUAAAUCCUCAACGAUCAAAUCACCUGCAUGGAGGCACGAGGCCUGAUAUGAGGCCAGCUGAUGGCCAUAGAGCCUCAUGGAGGCCAGAGGUAAAGGGAGGAACCACCAGGAACUGGGAUAGAGGUGGAGAGGGGAACCUACCUAUCUGGAAUAGGUUCCUGCUCGUCACUCCCCAAGAGAGAGAACCAUCAACAUACAGACAGACAGACAGACAGACAGACAGACAGACAGACAGACAGGGAGACAGGGAGACAGACGGAGAGAGAUGUAGAUGAGAGGGGGAUAAAGAAAUAUGAACAAUGUAACAAUUUAAUUGAGUUUUGCGAUGCACAGCCACAGCUCUCGCUUCAAACAAAAGGAAAUGGCCCUUCUGCAAGAUAUGCUGAAAGUAUGGACUAUAUUUGGAUGUCAAAUUAGUCAGUAAUUUAUAGUCCCAAAUAUGUGCACUGAAUUAAAUCAGAUCUUUAGUAACUAUUUUUAUGUUCCUUUACGUUGAAGGAAAUUAUAUAUAUAAUUCUGAAGCUCGCAUAUAAUAACAAAAAUGGAUAAUUGUCCAUCUUUCAUGUUCAUGCCCAGGCAGUGUGAGAAGAAGAAUUAGCGCUCACACAUUUUAUCGCCAAUGAAAAUAAGAGAAUCCAGUGGAAUGGAACUUCCAUCAUGCCCUCUUUUGGGGUGGUCUAAUUGGGUUGUUUUUUCUUGAGCUUUGCUUGAUUCCAGAACAUUUCUACACUUUCUGGACUCUAGUCUGACAUUGUUUGUAAUGUCAGGCGGCAGAGUGAACCACAGCAUGGAGGAGAAGUAAUUGUAGCCGUUUGCAGGCUCCUGGAGCUCUAUAUCUAUAUAAUAUAAGAUAAUAAUAAUAAUAAUAAUAAUAAUAAUAUUAUAUAAUAUAUAGGUAUUUAUAUAAUAUUAUAUCUACACAGCAAAAUACUUAGUGUUAAUUUAACUCUCAUAAGAGUCAAAUUUAACACUUUCUUGGUGUUUAUAUAAUCCUCACCAAGUUGGAGUUAAGGUAAUAUUAUAUAAAGUUAAUAUUUUAACUCUUAAAUAGUGUUAAAUAUUUAACACACAUUUUUAACACUGGUGUUACUUACCGACACUAAGAGUGUUGAUUUAUUACACAUUAAAGUGUGUUUUUAACGGUGUUACUCACUAACACUAGGAGGGUGUUUCUAAGUUUCAGUUCAUCAUUUACACCAAGUUUGAAAUGCUUCUAUAUUCAACUGUAAGACACAUUGCUACAGUAUAAAGUUUAUUUUUUUUAUUCAACAUUGCAGCUCACAAACAAUAUUGAACACAAGAUCCAGGCAUCAAACGCAUUGACAGAUAAUGUCUCUCCUCCACUCUUCUCUCUAAUGAACCACUCCAGUGUGGAUAUGAGAAAGGUGGAAAUAGGCCAAAAUAAAUAUAUUUACACAUUUCAGAAAUUGACAUGCAACACAACUUUGUAUAAAAAAGUUACAGUUGACCAGAACAACCAGUGCGUGAGGAAUAGGAUAUGUACACAACAUAUGCAUAUUUAAAAUGAAAACAAAGGUACAAUAUAUUGGUUCUCAUCUCUACCAAAGGCAUUUUGUAAGGCAAAGGGCUUAUACAUUUCAAGACUGUCUGCUUUUAUAACAUCUUUGUCAUCACUUUCAAAUACUUGGUAGGCAUGAAAACGUUCACUGAAAUGAUCAACCACAAGUUUUGUCACUAGGAAGUACAUAACACUGUCAACUAAAAUAAUCUUUUGUAUUCUGCAAAACACUGGCAUUUCAUGUUUAAUCUCUCUGCAAACAACUAGUCCUGUCCUGUACUCUGUCCCACAGAUUCUAACCCAGUUAGUCGAGAAGAUGUCUUUCGGUACAGCAUGAAGUAGGGCUGAACGAUUUAUCGUUUUCUGAUCGAAAUCACGAUUUCAGUCAACGCGAUCUCGGGAUCGCCAAAGACACGUUUUUUUCGGUUUUACUGUGCAUUCACGCGUCAAUGUAGAGACGCGAAUCGGGCGAAUUAAUAUAAUAUAAUUGUAUAAUAUCAUGGCCAAAAGCUGUGUGAGCCUCCGGAUGGCCGUAGGGCUGGGAGCUCUCUUCGAGGGGUUUGUUUACCGGCGUUUGUUUACUGGUGUUGCUAUGGUUAACAGCGUUAACAUGCGUUCAACAGCGUGGCCACUGAGUCACAUGUGUAACGUAACAGCCAAUCAGCGUUCAACCGUCAAACUCAGUGCAGUUCAGUCCGGGGUGAACUGCAGCAUGGAGGAGAAAGUGAAUGUUGCCGUUUGCGACUCCCGGAGCUCUAUAUAUAAUAUAAUAUAAUUUAAUUGUAUACAUAAUAUCACGGCCAAAAGCUCUGUGCGCCUCCGGAUGGCCUUAGCGCGGGGAGCUGUCAUAGGGAUAUGGCUUCUCGGGGUUUGUUUACCGGCGUUGCUAUGUUUCCGGUCUUGUGUGUUCCAACGGUUUAUUAGGUAGGCCUAUCUAAUAAAUCUCUGUCUAUUCAAUACUUCAUUCACUGUCAUUACAAUAUUAUGAAUAGACUGCGUUGGGUUCUCCGACGUCUCUCCCUUUGUUGUUAUACUCUAAUGCACAAAUUAACUAAAAGAGCCAUCUUUGACUGUCUUAAAAAAACAACUAAAAAGUAGUAGUACUUUUCUAAGUUAAGACAGUCAAAGAUGGCUCUUUUAGUUAAUUUGUAACAACUGCAGUUGGUCAAGGACUUUAGUUUACAUGCAUGUUUCUUGAUAAAUACAUUUAAAAUCAAUUCUUAACUUUAGUUUUCAUUCUUACAUUAGAGUAAUGGCAUGUAAUGUUUUAAUGGUAUGAUGUCAUGUUUGUAAAUAUUACUGUACAUUGUGAAUAUUGCACUGAAGCUUGAUUUGAAGAAAAUCGAAAUCGCAAUAUCUGCCAGAAAAAUCACAAUUCAAUCUUUUCCUGAAAUCGUUCAGCCCUAGCAUGAAGGGCUCGGGCAAUCCUCUCACUAUCCUCAUCAAAAUGAAAUGGUUUCAACGGUCCAUACUCAAUAUGGUUUAAAGGUGAUGUCUCCCAAUGAUAUCCUAUAGACAUUUGAUGUUUUUUGGCAAGAGAUUGGUGAUGUUCUUGAAGUUUUUAAGAGUGUUCUUGAAUACUUAAAGUUCUGCUUCAAAUCUCAUGCUCCACAUAUUAAGUAGAGGCCCUAUUUUUCUUAUGCAAGCUCGGUAGUGUAUCAUGAAAUUAUGUUUUGGGAUCAGGUUUCUGUGCGGAUUCAACUGUUUGAACAAGUCAUGAUGUUCCAUUAUUAGAUGUUUUAAAAGUACAGUCAUGCCUAGUGUAACAGAAGGAGAAAAUAUGAUGUUGAUAUCUGCAGCAAAAUCAAUGGCAAAAGCCAGUUUUUGUUUCCUGCUGGCACAAUGUCACCAAAAAGUAAAGGGAUGUUCCUCAUGGGACAAAGAGUAUGAUUGGAAUUGAGGCCGAUGUUAUUGCCAAUACUGUCUUAAGUAAAUCCUUGUUGGACGGUUUUUUCGCCCAAGUACCCAUAGUCAAAAGCAUAAAUUCUGGAAAAAAGAUCAGGCUUUGACAGAACAUGUUCUGAGAGAUAUUCCAAAAGUAACUUUUUCCGAGUUGAAUUCCUUUUUAAACCAAACACUGAGAACUUCUGUGGGUCUGAUUGCAACUCAUUGCAGUGCAUUUCAAAAAGCUCCUCUGUUAACAUUCUGGGCAUCACCUUAUCCAUGUAACAUAAACGACAGUAAUAACGUCCAUUAAAAGACUCUGUAAACCCUAGAAUUGCAUGCAUUCCUAAGUUGUCCCCAGUUAUCUGACAUAGUGCCAUGGACUUUUUCAGUGGAGAAGGGCAAGUCAAGACCGUGACGUUCCAUUGUUUUAAUGUAAUUUAUCAGAAGCUGAAGAAUAGGAUCAAAGCCAUAUUUUUUCACAUCUUCAGUGUGAAACAGUGCGACCAAAUGGAUGUUCAUCACAGCAGAGUUAAACUUUGGUGGCAGAUUUCUAAGGACAAAAUAGAGAGCUCCCAUUUUGUGAAUACCGCGUUUUGAACCCGGUGGGUUAGCAGUUUCAAAGUCAUCAUAGUACAUCUGAAUUUGUAAAGAAGUCCGUUUAGAGAACAAUGCAUGCGUCUUAAAAUAACUACCAUCACAAUAGUCUUCAAAUUUGUCCGUUUUCGAUACAAACGUUUUUCCCAAGCAAUUUACACAUAUCAGAAUUGCGGCACAUG
ensembl:lncRNA